rnacentral:misc_RNA from 1 species
UAUAUAUAUAUAUAUAUAUCAGCCACAAAUUUCUUGUCAAACUUCAAGAUUGCCCAAAAAAUGUGACCCUCUUGUAACGGAACUUGUGAGUGAAGUGGAACAAUGUUGAAACCCUGUUAUUCUGAUGUGAUGUACAUAACAUAUAAAUAAAAGCCAACUCUACACGAGACCCAAGAAAAUGAACUAUUGGAAAUAUACCGUAAGUGUAUGAAGGAAACUGUCAGAGGUUCUCAUGUAAAUGACAAAUUAUUCAUUCUUUUUUUAUUUUGAUCGACAUUUGAGUAUGUCUUCGUUUUGUUUAUGACCUUUUUCUUCAUGACUGAAUGGCAGGUGAUUGAUGAAUUUG